ACCGGAGCUAAUACCGCAUAACAUCUUCGGUUCACAUGGACUGAUGAUCAAAGGAGCAAUUCGCUUGAGGAGGGGGUCGCGGCUGAUUAGCUAGUUGGUAGGGUAAUGGCCUACCAAGGCUGAGAUCGGUAUCCGGCCUGAGAGGGCGCACGGACACACUGGAACUGAAACACGGUCCAGACUCCUACGGGAGGCAGCAGUGGGGAAUUUUGCGCAAUGGGGGAAACCCUGACGCAGCAACGCCGCGUGGAGGAUGAAGUCCCUUGGGACGUAAACUCCUUUCGACCCGGAAGAUACUGACGGUACGGGUGGAAGAAGCACCGGCCAACUCUGUGCCAGCAGCCGCGGUAAUACAGAGGGUGCGAGCGUUGUUCGGAAUUAUUGGGCGUAAAGGGCGCGUAGGCGGUGCGGUAAGUCACCUGUGAAAUCUCCUGGCUCAACUGGGAGCUUGCAGGCGAAACUGCCG
rnacentral:rRNA from 1 species